rnacentral:misc_RNA from 1 species
GUGAAUCAUCGAAUUUUUGAACGCACAUUGCACUCUCUGGUAUUCCGGGGGGCAUGCCUGUUCGAGGGUCGUUAGAAUAAUCAAUCGAUGCUUCGCUUUUUGUUUAAGGGUGACCGCGUCGGAAUUGAGCCGCCCUUCAAAUGUUAAUUCAUGUCAAAGUGGCUUGACAUUCAUCCAUCCGGUACGAUUGAAGCGUAUUU